ACACUCCUGCGGGAGGCAGCAGUGGGGAAUCUUGCGCAAUGGGCGAAAGCCUGACGCAGCCAUGCCGCGUGAAUGAUGAAGGUCUUAGGAUUGUAAAAUUCUUUCACCGGGGACGAUAAUGACGGUACCCGGAGAAGAAGCCCCGGCUAACUUCGUGCCAGCAGCCGCGGUAAUACGAAGGGGGCUAGCGUUGCUCGGAAUUACUGGGCGUAAAGGGAGCGUAGGCGGACAUUUAAGUCAGGGGUGAAAUCCCGGGGCUCAACCUCGGAAUUGCCUUUGAUACUGGGUGUCUUGAGUAUGAGAGAGGUGUGUGGAACUCCGAGUGUAGAGGUGAAAUUCGUAGAUAUUCGGAAGAACACCAGUGGCGAAGGCGACACACUGGCUCAUUACUGACGCUGAGGCUCGAAAGCGUGGGGAGCAAACAGGAUUAGAAACCCCAGUAGUCCC
rnacentral:rRNA from 1 species